GUAUUUGAAUUUGUGGCGCUUGGUGUCCGCGAGUUGCCGAAUGAAGCUGAGCGUCUCAGUGGAACCAGGGAUCUCAGGGAGGGGAAGGUAUAAAAUUUUCAAAUGGAGGAGUAUACCUGAACCUAAUCAUGGAUGUGAUUUUAUGUAAGUAAUAUGUGAGAUACAGAUAAGCUGAUUCUAAAACUUACAAGAAUGGCAAAGAAACAAGAAGAGCUUAAACUGCAAUCAUCAACAGAGAAGCUUUCUGCAACCAAAGUGAAGACUGAAGCCUUAGGCUAUGGCAGAAGUUGGGCGCCUGAAGUACACGUGGAAAUAUGCCAACUGAACAUUGGACUACCACGUCAAGGGUCUCCUACCCCUGGGCCAUGGAUCAAUACCAGUCUGUGACCUGUUAGGAACCGGUAGCAGGAGCGCCUGCCCCUGGCUCAGCGCCCGGUGCCAACAGAACACCUUUCAGGAUCCACAGCAACGCAGACAACAUUUUAAAGCACCUGAUGGAUUUGGAAAAUAUUUAAUGAAGACAAUGAUGCUGACAUCUCAAGUUAAAAGGUUCUACAGAGAAGGCAAAGAUUUUGAAGGCACAGGAGACUAUCAUAGAUAUUCACAACGGCAUCUCCCUAAAGGAUUUGAAAGCUUUGCAUCAACCAAAGGAAAAGCACCAGUGAGAGUCAAGAUACAGUUCCAGACAGAUGUAAUUGGUUAAGAUAAGAUCAUACUGGAUGUGGAUGGGUCCUAGAUCUGACUGCUGAUAUCCUUAUAAGAAGAAGAAAGGACACGCGGAGACUACAGUGAUGUUGCCACAAGCCAAGAAAUGCCAAGAAUUUCGGGAGCCACCAGAAGAUGGAAGAGGCAGGGAAAAAUCCUCCCCUAAAGCCUUCAGAGAGAGCAUAGCUCUGCCAACACCUUGAUUCUGGACAUCUAGCCUCUUAAACUUCCUCAGGUGUCUCAUUUCUUCUGUCUCAGAAGUCAUGGAUGUCAAUGAAGAUAUGGAAUUCACUUAUUCAUUCUUAUAAAUAUUACUUAGUGUCCUUGUGCUUGGCACUGUGCUUGGUCAUUGAGAUCUACUGUUCAAAAGCAAGAUAACAUACAGGCUGGAAUAGCGAGAUGCAAGAAUCCCAAGCCUUCAAAGCCAGCUCCUGCAGAAGAGAGAGGGCCUGGCAGCUGAGCUGGAUGCUUCAGGAGCAGAGGAUCUAUCAACUGCAGACCAAGCACAGGGAGACGCAGGCAAACCUGGAACAGUAACCCAGCCAGCUCCAAUUGCUCCGACAGUACUUGGUGGCCAGAGAGUCGGCAGCAGAAAGCAUGCCCCGGGCCGUGAAGCAGGAAAUCGACUCUGACUCAAUCCUUGAGGUCUGUAUUACAUCUGGGAGUACAACUUGAAGGGCCCCACACUCUUGUUUCUCAGCACCUCAUAAAUCUAAGCCCACGUGAAGUGAACAGAGCAUCCCUUCUUCAAGAGAAUGGAAAAAGAAAGGAUGCUGAGGAGGAACUGUUGGGGGCAGAGCCCUUGAAGCCAGCUGGCAAGACUGAGACCACUGAUCAAUGCUUUGCCCACUGAAAGGACAACCUUAUAAAGAAUUGGAACCAUUAAGCUUUAAUUUUUAGAAAUUUGGAUGCUAGAGGGAAUGGUCUUUAGGGACCGCUGCGGUCCCUAAACCCAUCAUCUGCUCUGGUGCCAGGAUACAAAUCUGUUCGCCCUGAAUCCUUCAUCUGCUUGGAUGUCCAGGAUACAAUCUUUUCAGUUUGGGAACUUCUGACUGUUUUUCUCAGGUGUCUGCCUUGCUUCAAUGCUUAUAUCUUGAACAUUGUGUCUUUACGUGUCUGCCUUCGGCAGGUUUCAUUAAUUUGUAAUUUAUGCCUACAAAAUUGUUUAAGCACUUCUGGAUCUUACACUGGUCAAGGGUGUGUAUUAGUGGGUGUGUGUGCACUAUACAGACUGUGGGGCAGAAUCUACUGGGUUUUGUUUUUCCUGAUUUUAAAAUGUUUAGUCAUUCUGAUCCAUACGUGUGAGUUAAUAAGUGUGUGUCUCUGUAUCUUGGUGCAAGUGUCUGUACUCGGGAAGCAGUGAACACAAGCAGUUUAGAAUAGUAUUCCACAUUUCUCUACCAUUUGCAUUAACUGUGUCUUUCCAAAAUGCAUAUUCAGCUUCAUUUUUUUUUUUUAUUCAGAGGUGGUAGUUUUCAAACUCAAAUCUAGCUCAUUUGUCUCUUUUAGCACAUGAUUGAGGAUUAGGGACUAUUCUAACUGGCAGUCAAGGGUCAGUAUUUUGGACUCCAUUUGGCUUAGAUAAUUUAUAUAGAAUAAAAGUCUAACAGGUAUAAUCACAAUAGCCUUGGCUUAAUAAUUUUCCAAGCAUACUUGAAGUUGAAAAACACUUCAAACUAAAAUUGGAAGAAUGUUCUGGUUAGUAAGUUGUAUGCUUCUGUAAUAAUGGAGAGAAUUGGAAUGCAGUUCUCUUUGUUUGAUUUAUAUGGCAACACCAAGAAUGUGAGACGUGUGUUUUACUGUAGAAAUAAACUUUCAACAUUGACCUAGAGAACAGAAGACUCAGGUUGGUACUUAAAUCCUGCUCUGCUAGGUUAUAAUGAAAAGCAUCUUAAUAAGAAUAGAUUUUUUAGGAAGAAAAAUCUUAAGAUUCAUGUCUUUCUCUCAUUGUUUGCAAUAUUUGUCAACAUUUGCUUGCAUGAUUCCUACGAAGAACAAGCUUAUUUGGAGAAAGUGAUCUAAAUUUUAGAAUUGAAUGUACUCCACUAAUUAAAUGUGUAUGUCCUUGUGAUCUUAGUGCCACUAAAUCUAAAUAGCACAUACGUAAAUUCACUGCUGUCUUAUGCUACAAGUCAUAUUUGAAAGCUUGUUGCCAGCCCUAAGAAAGUGAUUUUAUUAUGGAGUUAUCUAAUGGCUUCAGAUAACACGUUUCAUUGUCUACAGUCUUGUAAGAAUUUAACUCUUAUGUUAUAGAUAUUUCAUAUGCUACAUUUACAUUUUAUAUUUUAUACAUAUAGAGAUCUUUAAAAUUCUAUCUGUCUAAAAGGUUUCCUCUUCAAUGUAUUUUAUAAUACAAUGAUAGAAAAUUUCACUUUAUUUCUAUAUUCAAAACAUAAAGUGUUAUAAUAUUGAUAUUUCACCUUUAUUUCCAUUUUAAUAACAUGUAUUAUGUUUCAAACCUUUCUAAGCAUCUUGACAUACUCAUUUGAUCUUUAGAGCAAUUUACAAGAUAAGUUAGAGCAGAAGUCAUUAUCUUCAUUUUACCAAUAAUAAAACAUGCACAAGGUGACACAGAUAUUAGUGUCAGACUUGAAGCUGUGGCCUGAAGCUAAGGACUCCUGGUCAAGUACUCUUUCCACAGCUACUGCUGCUUCUGUUAAUGUUUGAUAACUUUUUAGCAUACUCUGUAUUUCCAGUACCUAUUAUAACCAUUACAAUGCAUGUAACGCAAAUGUUGGUUGCUCUUAGACGAUCCUUAGCAUUCUAACCACAUAAGAAAAAGUAGCAAAUAAGUAUUUCAGGCAUCUUUCUUGGGCUUUUAUCACAGCACAACCUGCUGCAGAGUCUGAUGUCAUGAUGGACCUUUAUUGUCAGCUUCAGAAAUUCUGGGUGAGCUAUUAAUAUGCUUAAUGAUUUUGCUCCCCAGCAACAUGUUCCUAUGAAAACAUGGUGAGUAUAUAUUACUCACUAUGUUUCACAAAACAAUUGUGUACAUAUUUUGUCUUCAUACCUAUCAACAUUUGCCUUAAAGACACAUUAUGUAUAAUUUGAAACAUCCAUGAGGCUUUUCCUUUUCCUGGAAUAACUAGCACCCCUUCUCCAACCUCUUCCCCAUUCAGGGGUUCUUGACCUUCACUGUGUUAUGGACCCCACUGCCAAUCUGCCAUAGACCUAAAGCCUAUGGACCUUUCUUAGUAUAAUGCUUUUAAAUAUAUAAAAUAAAGAAUAAAGCAUGUAGAAUUACAAAGAAAUUCAAUUUAUAUUGAAAUUCAGCUAUCAAAAUAUUAAAAUCAAUUAAAUAUUAACACCAAUAUUUGGUAUGAUAAUAUGGAUAGUUUCUAUUAAUGCAUUAAUAAAGCCCAGUGGUUGGUGUACUACUAUAA
rnacentral:lncRNA from 1 species